rnacentral:tRNA from 1 species
GCGGGUGUGGCGAAAUUGGCAGACGCACCAGAUUUAGGUUCUGGCGCCGCAAGGCGUGGGGGUUCAAGUCCCUUCACCCGCA